UUAAUUAAAAAGCAUAAUCCACUGGGCCUGGUAGUUCUAAAUCAAUUAGUAUCCACGUAAUAUACAUGUAAUGGAAGUGCGAAGACCCCCAAUGUCACUAGCAUGCAUAGCCUAAUAGCCACCUGAUCAAGCUGCGCACGGAGAUGCCUAGCAUCACAAAUGUAUACAAGAACAAUGAAGAAAAUUUUAGUGAAAGCAGAAACACAUUUCCCGAUUGCCUUUGCAUAAAAAUCCGCUUACAUAGUCUCAACUAAAAGUGUUUGUAAUACAAUGAAUAAAAAUAGGCAGCAACUGGUAAUAGCUUAACUGCCAUGACCUAAAAUAACAUCAGAAGAGAAAAUAACAGCAAGCAAAUGACAAGAUAUUGCAAGCAAUUACACAAACGCUCACACAGAAGCAGAGAAUAUUGGAUUCUUUUAAUCAAGAUGACAACAAAAGAGUCCAUAUGCAAAACAACUAGGGCUGCAAACGAACCGAGUCGAGUCGAGUUUUGGGCCAAUCGAGCCGAGUCUCGACUAAAUUUUACCAAGCUUGAGCUCGAACUCAAGCCGGCAAUUUUCGAGCUCGAGCUCGACUCGAAUCAAUUCAAGCCGAGCUCGAGCUCAAAAAAAAUUAAAAAAAAUUAUUUUAUUUUUUAAAAAAUAAAUAAAAUAAUAUAUUUUUUAAUAAAUAAUAAAAAUAUUAAGGAUAUAUAUGUAAUUUUACUAUUAAAAUAAAAAAAAUAUAUACUUAAAAAUAAAAAAUAUAUAUAAAUAUACUUAAAAUAAAAAAAAUAAAAAAUAUUAUAUAUAUACUCGAGCUCGCGAGCUAACAAGCUUAAUAUUUUGAGUUCGAUUUUGAUCGAGCUCGACUCGAGCUUGACUCAAGCCGCUCGCGAGCGGCUCGAUUCGUUUGCAACCCUAAAAACAACAAACAAGAGCAUAAAGUGCUCCAAACACAUAUUGAAAGCAUCCUUACACCAAAAAAAUAGCAAGCUACAUCACGAAAGAGGCUAGGCAACAUAAAAAGUAACAACAGUAAACUUGACAGAAGUGGUUUUCCUAAUAUGAUCAGAUGAAUGCUUAAUAUAGCACAAAAGCCUUUUUCCUUUGGCCUCAUUAGCAACGUAAUAGCUCAAUCUAGCAUGUUGCAGAAAGAGAAGAAUCAAACAACACCAUUAGCAUAAACGGAAUCAUAGAUGCAAACAUCGUAGAGGUAUAAAAAAAACCAAGCUACACUACAUCUUGUUCAUCGAGCGCAUAAAGAUGAAAAGUAGCAAGACCAAUAAGGCGCACAACUUCAUCGCCAAUAACCAGAAUAUUCAUAGAGCCAGAGUCAUCUUUAAUUGAUAGAGCAAUAUAGACCCUGCAAUCAACAGCAAUCAUGCAUAAAGCUAGACCAACAUCAUGGACAAAUAGUAGCAGGAGAACAAUAGAACAAGAAUACCUAGGGAAAAUAUACAUUUGUCGACCACAACACUUGCACACAAUUCCCAAAG
rnacentral:lncRNA from 1 species